GGCAAUUUAUGCUAAGAGGGAUCUAUGUAAAAACGAAGAGUUACGCUACGAUUACGGUGUGAAGGACCUUCCAUGGCGAAUUCAAAAGGACCGAUUAAAACACAAACGAGAAAAAUUCACAGGGCUAACGAUCGCAGAGAAGGCAAAUGAAAGUGCCAAAGACCAACAAAAUGAGGACACUCCCCUCGGAUCCAUGGUUAUUGAUGAUCAUGCUCAAGUUACUAGCCAAGCGAACAACCAGAGUAA
rnacentral:lncRNA from 1 species